rnacentral:snRNA from 1 species
ACACUCUGGUUUCUCUUCAAAUCGUAUAAAUCUUUCGCCUUUUACUAAAGAUUUCCGUGGAGAGGAACAGUCUUGAGUUGGAAAACAAUUUUUGAAGCCUCAUUUUUAUUAAUGAGGC